UUGAUCUUUUCCAUUUUGCAAUCACUCAGAGGGUGGAAUAGGAGGAAAAGUGAAGGAAAAGAUCAA
rnacentral:sRNA from 1 species